GGCUGCAAUGAGAAUCACCACCUCCAAAUCUGAGGCCAUGGUUCUCUGCUGGAAAACGGUGGUAUGCUCCCUCUGUGUUGGGGGAGAGAGACUGCCUUAAGCAAGGUUCAAGAAGCAAGUAUCUCGGGAUCUUAUCCACAAGUGAUGGGAAGACAGAGUGCAAGUUGGACCAGCAGUGUGGCAUUAGCAGUACUGGACUGCCUAAUGAACAAAGAGCUUUUGAUUUACCAAUCUAUCAAUAUCCCAACCUUCACCUAGGAUCAGGUAAUCUGGAUAUUGACCAAAAAAGUGAGGUCAUGAAUACAAACAGAAGAAAUUAGUUUCUUCCAUAUGGUGGCUGGGCUCAGACUUAAAAGACAAGUUAAGAAGCUCAGACGUCCAAAGGAAUUCCUGGAGUAGAUCCCCUGCUCCUGCAUGUCAAAAGGACCCAGUUAAGGUGGUUGGGAUGUGUAACAGAAGGUUUACAAGUACAUCCAACUGGGAAGAAACCCCAGGGUAGACCUAUUUAUUUGACAAUUUUAAAACAUCUCUAUGCGAUACAAGGAACUUAAAAAAGAAAGAAAGAAAAACUUCCAAGAAUUGCGAGCACAACUUUAGAGAUCAUAAUUAAAACAUUGUUUCAUUCCUUAGUGUGGUUCUAAUCUGAACUAAAAAAAAAAAAAAAAAAAACCUUUGGGAUGAACUGCAUUUUUUCCUUUGUCCCAUAACCCAAGUUAACCAAUAUGGUUAACUAUGGAGGGGAAAAAUGAUCAUCAGUGAGUUGGCCUAUCAUAAACUCUUAAGAAAUGGAGAUAUUUCAAAUAUGCAAAGUACCUUAGCCUAAAUUACUGUUUAUUCCUGCGUACCUGACGUUGAUAGCUGUGGAAGAGUGAAUUUGCAAAUGCGCUCUGACGUCCAUCAAACGCCAUUCUGAACUCCCCUUUGGUUCUUCAGUACUCGGUUACAGCUCUGGCAAUGUACAAAGAACGAAACAUUUUUAUAAAGAUUUGCAUAGUAAAUUAAGACAUUUGACAGAUAUGGAAAAUACAUUAGCAAACUACUUUUUCGGGAAAAGGCAACUUUUCAGCUAGCCAACUUAGCAAACUUAACUAGC
ensembl:lncRNA